GUAACACGUAGGCAACCUGCCCUUUAGCCUGGGAUAACUACCGGAAACGGUAGCUAAUACCGGAUACUUUCUUUUUCUGCAUGGACGAAGAACGAAAGACGGAGCAAUCUGUCACUGAAGGAUGGGCCUGCGGCGCAUUAGCUAGUUGGUGGGGUAACGGCUCACCAAGGCGACGAUGCGUAGCCGACCUGAGAGGGUGAUCGGCCACACUGGGACUGAGACACGGCCCAGACUCCUACGGGAGGCAGCAGUAGGGAAUCUUCCGCAAUGGGCGAAAGCCUGACGGAGCAACGCCGCGUGAGUGAUGAAGGUUUUCGGAUCGUAAAGCUCUGUUGCCAGGGAAGAACGUCU
rnacentral:rRNA from 1 species